AGAUGCGAUCAUACCAGCACUAAAGCACCGGAUCCCAUCAGAACUUCGAAGUUAAGCGUGCUUGGGCGAGAGUAGUACUAGGAUGGGUGACCUCCUGGGAAGUCCUCGUGUUGCCUUCC
rnacentral:rRNA from 1 species